rnacentral:lncRNA from 1 species
AUGAUUAUUGCUUUAAACUUUACAACUUAACACACUUCUUAGUUAUAUUAAUCUAAAGAUCUGUAUAGUUUUUGGUGAAAAUUCAAAAUUUUAUUUUUGUAAAAAAAAAGAGUUUUUUUCACACGUCUCGCUAUAUCUCAGAAACUAUUUAUGAUUAUUGCAUAAAACUUCACACACAAGACGAAGGGCGUGUCAUGCACUCAUG